rnacentral:rRNA from 1 species
UCGCAAGAUGUCAGCGGCAGACGGGAGAGUAACACGUGGGAACAUGCCCUUCGGUUCGGAAUAACUCAGGGAAACUUGAGCUAAUACCGGAUACGUCCGUAAGGAGAAAGAUUUAUCGCCGAAGGAUUGGCCCGCGUCCGAUUAGCUAGUUGGUGAGGUAACGGCUCACCAAGGCGACGAUCGGUAGCUGGUCUGAGAGGAUGAUCAGCCUCACUGGGACUGAGACACGGCCCAGACUCCUACGGGAGGCAGCAGUGGGGAAUAUUGGACAAUGGGCGCAAGCCUGAUCCAGCCAUGCCGCGUGGGUGAUGAAGGCCCUAGGG